UCCACACACCUCCAUGAUAAGGACUGUCAUUGGGUCCAUGGAAAUGAACAUAGAAAUCUUGCAUGCCAUCAUUUAUCAUCUCAACUUUGUAGUCACUCAUCAUCAAUUUCAUCAAGUCCAUGUCUCUGCGUUUGCUUGGUGACGACAUGGUUUCCUUCUUCCAACUUCGUUCGCUUUUCGUUCACCGCUUCAGAGGGAGAGUCUGAGAAAAAAAAAAA
rnacentral:misc_RNA from 1 species